AUCCUUUUUUGGGUUCUUUAGCAUGAUGAGUGGCUGUUCACAUGUUUGAGUGGCGUGCUCCUUUAAAUCCUGUUACACACUUGGCACACUAUCCAUCUGCCG